GGGCGAUUGGCUCAGUGGUUAGAGCACGCGGUUCACAUCCGCGGGGUCACUGGUUCGAAUCCAGUAUCGCCCACCA
rnacentral:tRNA from 3 species